rnacentral:rRNA from 1 species
AAUGAACGCUGGCGGCAGGCCUAACACAUGCAAGUCGAACGGAUCCUUCGGGACUAGUGGCGGACGGGUGAGUAACGCGUGGGAACGUGCCCUUUGGUUCGGAAUAGCCUCGGGAAACUGGGAGUAAUACCGAAUGUGCCCUUCGGGGGAAAGAUUUAUCGCCAAAGGAUCGGCCCGCGUUGGAUUAGGUAGUUGGUGGGGUAAUGGCCUACCAAGCCGACGAUCCAUAGCUGGUUUGAGAGGAUGAUCAGCCACACUGGGACUGAGACACGGCCCAGACUCCUACGGGAGGCAGCAGUGGGGAAUCUUAGACAAUGGGGGAAACCCUGAUCUAGCCAUGCCGCGUGAUCGAUGAAGGCCUUAGGGUUGUAAAGAUCUUUCAGAUGGGAAGAUAAUGACGGUACCAUCAGAAGAAGCCCCGGCUAACUCCGUG